rnacentral:rRNA from 1 species
AGUGAACGCUGGCGGUAGGCCUAACACAUGCAAGUCGAACGGCAGCACAGUAAGAGCUUGCUCUUACGGGUGGCGAGUGGCGGACGGGUGAGGAAUACAUCGGAAUCUACUUUUUCGUGGGGGAUAACGUAGGGAAACUUACGCUAAUACCGCAUACGACCUACGGGUGAAAGCAGGGGAUCUUCGGACCUUGCGCGAUUGAAUGAGCCGAUGUCGGAUUAGCUAGUUGGCGGGGUAAAGGCCCACCAAGGCGACGAUCCGUAGCUGGUCUGAGAGGAUGAUCAGCCACACUGGAACUGAGACACGGGCCAGGCUCCUACGGGAGGAAGCAGUGGGGAAUAUUGGACCAUGGGCGCAAGCCUGAUCCAGCCAUACCGCGUGGGUGAAGAAGGCCUUCGGGUUGUAAAGCCCCUUUGUUGGGAAAGAAAAGCAGCAGGUUAAUACCCCGCUGUUCUGACGGUACCCAAAGAAUAAGCACCGGCUAACUUCGUG